rnacentral:rRNA from 1 species
GGGGGCCUGCGGAGGGAUCAUUACACAAAUAUGAAGGCGGGCUGGAACCUCUCGGGGUUACAGCCUUGCUGAAUUAUUCACCCUUGUCUUUUGCGUACUUCUUGUUUCCUUGGUGGGUUCGCCCACCACUAGGACAAACAUAAACCUUUUGUAAUUGCAAUCAGCGUCAGUAACAAAUUAAUAAUUACAACUUUCAACAACGGAUCUCUUGGUUCUGGCAUCGAUGAAGAACGCAGCGAAAUGCGAUAAGUAGUGUGAAUUGCAGAAUUCAGUGAAUCAUCGAAUCUUUGAACGCACAUUGCGCCCUUUGGUAUUCCAAAGGGCAUGCCUGUUCGAGCGUCAUUUGUACCCUCAAGCUUUGCUUGGUGUUGGGCGUCUUGUCUCUAGCUUUGCUGGAGACUCGCCUUAAAGUAAUUGGCAGCCGGCCUACUGGUUUCGGAGCGCAGCACAAGUCGCACUCUCUAUCAGCAAAGGUCUAGCAUCCACUAAGCCUUUUUCAACUUUGACCUCGGAUCAGGUAGGUUCCCGGGUCCU